rnacentral:rRNA from 1 species
GAAUGGAGCGUCAUAGAGGGUGAGAAUCCCGUCUUUGGCACGGACACACCAGGGCUUUUGUGAUGUGCUCUCGAAGAGUCGAGUUGUUUGGGAAUGCAGCUCAAARUGGGUGGUGAACUCCAUCUAAAGCUAAAUAUUGGCGAGAGACCGAUAGCGAACAAGUACCGUGAGGGAAAGAUGAAAAGCACUUUGGAAAGAGAGUGAAACAGUACGUGAAAUUGUUGAAAGGGAAACGCUUGAAGUCAGUCGCGUCGACCGAGACUCAGCCUUGCCUUGGCUUGGUGUACUUCUCGGCUGACGGGUCAGCAUCAAUUUUGCCCCUUGGAUAAUGGUGAGGGAAAUGUGACACCUUUUAUGGUGUGUUAUAGUCUCUCGUCGCAUGCAAGGGUUGGGAUUGAGGAACUCAGCACGCGCCUUUGGGUGUCGGGGCUCUGCUCACGAUACGUGCUUAGGAUGUUGGCGUAAUGGCUUUAAACGACCCGUCUUGAAACACGGACCAAGGAGUCUAACAUGCCUGCGAGUGUUCGGGUGGAAAACCCGUGCGCGCAAUGAAAGUGAAAGUUGGGACCUCUGUCGUGGAGGGCACCGACGCCCGGACCAGACCUUCUGUGACGGCUCUGCGGUAAAGCAUGUAUGUUAGGACCCGAAAGAUGGUGAACUAUGCCUGAAUAGG